GAUGAAGAACGCAGCGAAAUGCGAUAAGUAAUGUGAAUUGCAGAAUUCAGUGAAUCAUCGAAUCUUUGAACGCACCUUGCACCCUCUGGCAUUCCGAAGGGUAUGCUCGUUUGAGUGUCAUUGUACUCUCACACUUCCGAUCUUUGGAUUGGGAGCGGUGGACUUGGGUGUUGCUGCUUACUGUGGCUCACCUCAAAUCGAUUCGUGCACCUCUUGGUUGGACAUAGUACGGCGUGAUAAGUGUCUUCGCCGGCACCUCAGUAGAGGGUGGCUGAUCGGGAGCUCUGCUUCAAACCGUCCUCGGACAACAACUGACAACUUGACCUCAAAUCGAGUAGGACUACCCGCUGAACUUAAGCAUAUCAAUAAGCGGAGGA
rnacentral:misc_RNA from 1 species